UGUGGUCAAAGAAAAGAUCAAGGCAGAAGAAAUGCAAGCUUUCCUAUACAAGGCAAAAUCAAUCUCAAGAAGGUAAAAGUUGAAUUUAUUCAACAAUAUAAAAUGCAAUUUAAUGAUAAGGAAAGGAUUUAAAUUUCUUAAGAAUGCUGUAAUCUGUCAAAUAUGUUUCGUUGCUUAAAAGCUAGUAGUCCAGCAAAGAUUGUUAACUUUGAAUUGCCUAUUACAACAAAUCAAAAACAAAUGCUACUGAAAUAAUCUAAACAAGCACAAAUCCUGGGUCCAGUGUUAGGUCAGGAAGGUCUCCCCAUGGGGCCCUCCUGCGUCCCCACCCUCUCCGCCAUCCAGAGGGCUGGGCUCAGCGCCGUUUGGCAAAGCCCUGCAGAAGUCUUUCAACCGCUUUGUUACAAUCUCUCCUGUCUCCGCGGCCCUGCCUGCUGGCCACGGUGCCCUGCCCAGCCGCACUGGCCCAGGCCCAAGCCGGCCAGCGGAGUCGGGACAACUUUCCAAGCAGGCGGCGCAUGCGGAGCCGGGCGCGGAGCGUGGGCAACCUCGCGCACCGUCCACUGAGGCGGGCAAGUGACCGCCACCACGUUCCGACCCUCCGAGACGCCAUGAGAGAGACAGGCUAUGGUCGGGACUAAACGCGCCACCCGCCGGGCCCUUAGGACACCGCGGCGAACGGCCCGCUGCCGCCUUCCUGCUCAUGGACCUUGCUCGGCGGCGGGAAGGCGAAAGGAAGACACGGGGGCACAGAGCCAAGCCCAGGAUAGGAAGACUCUGAGAAUGCUCAAGUCUUUAUGUUUCUUGGACAUCAUGAAGACAACAACAUCCCUGCAGAGCUUCUGAAAACCUUGCAUCUCUGUCUACCGUCCUCUUCCACAGCCCUCCUGGCUGCAGUAUUUGGAACAUUUCCAAUGCCUUGAUUGUCUCUUUUUCCUGCUGCCUUUCUGGUCCUGUCUCCCACUGUACUCUGCACUAGGUGCACAUUCCAGGCUGGUGACAGGAAAAUCAGUUUGCUGGAAGAGAGAUGAAGACGGCAAGGCAGGUGUUUGAAACAGUGGUGCCCUAGCCAACAAGUUACCAUGCGUGUGCAUUGUAGCUUCUGUGGAAUUAAAGGAAGAUUACAGAUGAAUUUGGGGGAAAAUUCAACAUUUAAAGGGCAGACAAAAGGAGAGAACUCCACAGAAGAGAUGCAGGAAAAAACAUAGAAGAAGCAUCUUCCUGGAAUUAAAGAGAUUGUAAGAGAUGCCACCUCAUGGAUGUGUACCCAUGGGGCAAACCUGUGCUGUGACUUAUGUGGACACCCAGAACUGUUACUCUAGUGCCUGUCAGAAGCCUAAAGACCCACAUCUUGCUGAUCAUAACACCAUGCCUCACAAGAAUCUGUGAUGUGUUGGUUUCCUUGGUAACAGCAUUCUAGAACUUGGAAAGGGGCAACAGGUGAAGGAGCUACAAAUCAGAAGCACUGCCCUUCCUAGGAAAUGGACCUAGGAGAAGCUACCCAUGGCCUUGAGCCACAUAAGAAUGGUAAGAUCCAGAGCAAAACCAGCACGAAGCCUGAGGCCUGGAUGCAGCACCUGGGGCUGAACCAGUGGAUCAACUGGUAACGUGCUCCCUGGGACAACUUCGCAAUUACCUUGUAAGAUGAGGAUGACACCUCCAGUGAGGAGGGUUUGGUGGAACAACAUGUGCAAAAAACUGGAAAGAAGCAGGUGCUUAAUGCAAAAUGGUCCUAGUUUCCUCAUCUUCCCCUCCACCCCUCUUACCAGGAUGAUAAUAGCUAUUAACUAAUGAGAGGCACAUACAUUUUUUAAUCCCUCAAAAGUUCAUUUUCAAGAAAAAAAAAAGUUCAUUUUCUUGAGUUGGAGCGAGUGAUAAAAAAGAAGUGUGCCAGAGGAAAUCCGCUGUGCUUCCUGCUGGGCAAGCUCAUUUGGUCUCAUAUUCCCCUGCAGGAUCCUAGUGUGCUCAGUGCUGCAUACGGAGAGGGGGGGGUGUUGGGAGGAUUGAGUGCCUACUUUCCUUCCCCAUUAUUCUUGUAGGUUAUCUCCACCUCAUUUGUAAUUACUGCA